rnacentral:rRNA from 1 species
AUUCCAGCUCCAGUAGCGUAUAUUAAAGUUGUUGCAGUUAAAAAGCUCGUAGUUGGAUUUCUGACUUCAAACACCUGACCCUCCCUCGCUAGAGGUGUGUGUGCCGGAGUGUUUGUAUCAUCCUUUCAGUGAUCGGUUCUACCCUUAACCGGGUCGGAACUGUUAACUGGAUCUUUUACUUUGAAGAAAUUGGAGUGUUUAAAGCAGGCUUACGCCAGAACAUAUUAGCAUGGAAUAAUAAUUUAGGACUUUUGUUCUAUUUUGUUGGUUUCUAGGACGAAAGUAAUGAUUGAUAGGGAUAGUUGGGGGUGCUAGUAUUCGGCGGCCAGAGGUGAAAUUCUUUGAUCCGCUGAUGACUAACUUAUGCGAAAGCAUUCACCAAGGAUGUCUUCAUCA